CAUCCCUUCUGAUUCCCCUCUCCCCACACGGUGCUUCGGGAGCGAGGAGGACGAGCCAUCAGCCCCGACAUCAGCACCUGUGGCUCGCAGGGACACAACAUACCUGGAGAAAAAUAAUCAUUAAAGCACCCAUUUUAUUCCUAGCUGGCUGGAAAAGGCUUUCCCCGCUGUAUCCGAACUUAAAAGUGUCUUUUUAAGUGCAGGGUGACUGGCUUGGCUGCCUUGCUGCCGUGGGUGCUGAGGUGGGCUGAGCCCGGGGCACCCCAGAUUUGUGUGCCCUCAGCCAGGAGCCACUUGCCAGGUGCUCCCCGUGGGGCCAUGAGGGACAGGGACCAGCUGGAUCCUGCUGCGGAUGCUGGGGCUGGAGAAGUUUUGAGCUGGGAAACUGCAAAUAUCGGCUGUCCCCGGCGAUGGGCGCUGUAAAUGGCAUUUGUUGUCUUGAAAGGAGAGUGCUCCCAGCCCCGGGUGUUGCUCACAGCAGCCAGUAUUACCUGGGCAGGUUUCUGAGCUGCUUACGGAGUGGGCAGCCAGGCAGUGGGGUUUCACAGGAAGACCCUCGAUUUGCUGUAUCUGCUGCAUCCUGCCUCCAGCUAAGGACAAGGCUUGGCUCAUCCCACAGCCCUGGCUCAUGCUGCAGCCCCAGCUCAUCCUGCAGCCCCAGCUCAUCCUGCAGCCCUGGCUCAUCCCACUGCCACCCUCCACCUUGAGCUUCCCAGAAAUGGGUCAGCUUGGCUUUGUCUGGAUCUGACCGGCAACCUCUGCACCGGGAGCUGCAUCAGGAGCUUCCCCAUCCACUGCUGGUUUGGUCUGGAGCAGCCGUGCCCAGGGGCAUGGCAUGUGGAGCAUCCUCACCCGUGCCCAGGGGCAUGGCAUGUGGAGCAUCCUCACCCGUGCCCAGGGGCAUGGCAUGUGGAGCAUCCUGACCCGCUGUACCCACCCAGCUCAGCCAGCUCCCUGCUGCCUGAGGGCAGCCAAACCAUUCAGCGUUGGACUUGCUCACACGUGUUCACCUGCAACAGCAGCUCCCGUGCCCUGGGCUGAUCUUUCAUCCUGUUUCCCUCCAGAAGCACUAGAAAGGCCGUUCCAGGGAUGCACCAUGUGUAAUGUCAUUUGUGUCCACAGUGGGAGGCAGAGCGAGAGGGCAGGACCCCCCCCCAGCUCCCUGCACUGGUAUCUGGUAAGAGCAAACUGAACCCCGACCUGAACCCACAAACAACACCAAGCGUUGGGAUCUAGGAUAAUAAACCAGAGGCAAGACGCACCUGGGCUGAUUUUCUUCCUUGCUGACCCUGUGCACAGGGAGCUGGUGCUCACAGGUUUCUCCCAUGCAGUGGCUCUCCCAUGCUGGGUGUGGGUCCCGGGAUGUGCCUCUUCCUGAAGUCUGCCCAGAGCCUGCCAAAGGCUGCAGGACAAGGGAUUUUUGAACUUCAAGUCCUUGAUACCUGCUGUGAUUAUCUUGGACAUUGAAUCAUAGGAUCAUGGAAAGGUAGGAAAAGCCCUCUAAGGCCUUUGAAUCCAACUGUUCCCCCAGCACUUCC